AACACAGCAGCAAGGUGGAACCCAGGGCUUUCAGGCAGCGGGAACCAAGACUUAGAAGGACUCUGGCAGAUUCCCUCUCUGCAAGUGGCAAUCCCCCAUGCCUACUUUUCAUGGUGGUAGUGGCCGCCGAGAACUCCCAUGGACCCUCCUAGCCUCUCCUGGGACACUGACCUAAGUGUGAAUGGCAAUGGAAAAAAACAACUAAUGAAGGAAAAGCCAAGACAAGGCUACACCAAGAGCCCUCGCCCUGAAAGAAAUUUAUCCUAUGAAUUCAGCUAAGUAUAUCAAAGCAACAAAUCUGCCCAAGGCCUUCAUUGUCCAAUGAUCUGAAACAGGAAAAGACUGAACACAGCCCUGGUAUCCAUGUGUCCUGGUGUCCGUCACCAAGCAGCUGAUAGACUACAGUACACUGAACUGUAUCAAUACAAAGGAUUAAAUGCUGGGCAGAUGGUUCAGCAAGUGAGAGCACUAGCCACGCAAAGCCCGGUGACCUGAGUUCAGUUCCCGGAACCGACGUAACAGUGCCUCUGCAGUCUUGGCAUUCCCUAUGGCAAGAUGAGGCAGAAGCAGGAGGAUCUCGAAGAAGCUCUGGCCUGGAUGCUGGAAGGCCAGCGAGCCUUCGAGAUGCAGCACAGUAGCCGCAACAAGAAGAGAGGCUCUUGCCUCAACCCGGUGAAUGGUGAAAAGCAACCCUCAAAAGUUGUCCUCUGACCUCCACACCUGUGCCAUGGUAUGUGCAUGUCCAUGUAUGUGUGUAUGUGCACACACACAUAAUAAAUAAGUACAUAAUAACAUUAAAAAGAAUUAAGACUUUCUAGUAUAGAAAAAUAUUCUAGAUAUGAUAAAAUAAAAAGAACAAGAAGACAAUAUAUUAAUAUGUUACUUUUAUGGCAUGAAAAUAUGCACAUAUAGCUGAUCAUAUCUGCAUAAAGAAACAUACUUGAACAAGAAUAAACCUCAUGAUUGCCUACAGGGACUAUGUGAUGGGGUAGAAAGGUCAGGGUAUGAAUGAAACAUCUCAAUGCAUUUUAAAAAUUUAUUUUUAAUUUUAAUCUGUGUGAAAUAUUACUAUUCAAAACAAAAAAAGUUCAUCAUGAAUAGAUGCUUAGAAGCAUAACCAAAUACACAUGCAUGUGCUCCCCCACUCCCCACACAGAGAAAUGUCCUUUCCAUAUUCACAGGAUCAAGUACAAAAUCCCAAGGGUAAUUUUCCAGUACAUAAAAGUCUAAAUUACCUAGGCCUUAGGCAUCAGCUGGACCAGACUACCAGAGAAAACCACGUGGGUCUUUGACCUUUCUGUCUCCCUGCAUGGAACAUUGACCUUCUACUACCUAAUCAAUAAAUUUCAAGAUCUUUC